rnacentral:rRNA from 1 species
GACGAACGCUGACGGUGUGCUUUAGACAUGCAAGUCGAACGAGAAAGCCCUUCGGGGUGAGUAAAGUGGCGAACGGGUGAGUAACACGUGGGUAACCUGCCCCUCGCAGAGGGAUAACCGGGGGAAACCCCAGCUAAUACCUCGUACGCUUGCCGGGUCGCAUGGCUCGGCAAGGAAAGGUAGCUUCGGCCAUCCGGCGAGGGAUGGGCCCGCGGUCCAUUAGCUAGUUGGUGGGGUAACGGCCCACCAAGGCGACGAUGGAUAGCUGGUCUGAGAGGAUGAUCAGCCACAAUGGGACGGAGACACGGCCCAGAGUCCGACGGGAGGCAGCAGUCGGGAAUCUUGCGCAAUGGGCGAAAGCCUGACGCAGCAACACCGUGUGGGCGACGAAGGCCUUCGGGUCGUAAAGCCCUGUUGUUGGGGACGAAGGACGAAGGGUUAAUAGCCCCUAGUCUGACGGUACCCUUCGAGGAAGCCCCGGCUAACUACGUGCCAGCCGCCGCAGUAACAC